UGGGGAAUAUUGCACAAUGGGGGAAACCCUGAUGCAGCGACGCCGCGUGAACGAAGAAGGUAUUCGUAUCGUAAAGUUCUGUCCUAUGGGAAGAUAAUGACAGUACCAUAGAAGAAAGCUCCGGCUAAAUACGUGCCAGCAGCCGCGGUAAUACGUAUGGAGCGAGCGUUGUCCGGAAUUAUUGGGCGUAAAGGGUACGCAGGCGGUUUAAUAAGUCGAAUGUUAAAGAUCGGGGCUCAACCCCGUAAAGCAUUGGAAACUGAUAAACUUGAGUAGUGGAGAGGAAAGUGGAAUUCCUAGUGUAGUGGUGAAAUACGUAGAUAUUAGGAGGAAUACCAGCAGCGAAGGCGACUUUCUGGACACAAACUGACGCUGAGGUACGAAAGCGUGGGGAGCAAACAGG
rnacentral:rRNA from 2 species